rnacentral:rRNA from 1 species
AUUGAACGCUGGCGGCAGGCCUAACACAUGCAAGUCGAGCGGAUGAAGGGAGCUUGCUCCUGGAUUCAGCGGCGGACGGGUGAGUAAUGCCUAAGAAUCUGCCUGGUAGUGGGGGAUAACGUCCGGAAACGGGCGCUAAUACCGCAUACGUCCUGAUGGAGAAAGUGGGUGAGCUUCGGACCUCACGCUAUCAGAUGAGCCUAGGUCGGAUUAGCUAGUUGGUGGGGUAAAGGCCUACCAAGGCGACGAUCCGUAACUGGUCUGAGAGGAUGAUCAGUCACACUGGAACUGAGACACGGUCCAGGCUCCUACGGGAGGCAGCAGUGGGGAAUAUUGGACAAAGGGCGAAAGCCUGAUCCAGCCAUGCCGCGUGUGUGAAGAAGGUCUUCGGAUUGUAAAGCACUUUAAGUUGGGAGGAAGGGCAGUAAGUUAAUACAUUGCUGUUUUGACGUUACCAACAGAAUAAGCACCGGCUAACUUCGUG